GCGAGGCUAUUGCUAUCGGGGUCCGAUUCAGCCAUGCUAGUUGUACGGGUUUAGACCCGUAGCAAAUAGCUCCGUAACACGUGGUCAAACUACCCUCUGGACCGGAAUACCCUCGGGAAACUGAGGCUAAUUCCGGAUACUGCUUUCAUGUUGGAACACAGAAAGUCGGAAACGGUCCGCCGCCGGAGGACGUGACUGCGGCCGAUUAGGUAGACGGUGGGGUAACGGCCCACCGUGCCGAUAAUCGGUACGGGUUGUGAGAGCAAGAACCCGGAGACGGUAUCUGAGACAAGAUACCGGGCCCUACGGGGCGCAGCAGGCGCGAAACCUUUACACUGCACGCCAGUGCGAUAAGGGGACCCCGAGUGCGAGGGCAUACAGUCCUCGCUUUUCGUGACCGUAAGAAGGUCUCAGAAUAAGAGCUGGGCAAGACCGGUGCCAGCCGCCGCGGUAAUACCGGCAGCUCGAGUGAUAGCCACUAUUAUUGGGCCUAAAGCGUCCGUAGCCGGCCGAACAGGUCCGUCGGGAAAUCCACCCGCUCAACGGGUGGACGUCCGGCGGAAACCAGUCGGCUUGGGGCCGGGAGACCAGAGAGGUACGUCCGGGGUAGGAGUGAAAUCCCGUAAUCCUGGACGGACCGCCGGUAGCGAAAGCGUCUCUGGAGAACGGACCCGACGGUGAGGGACGAAAGCUUGGGUCUCGAACCGGAUUAGAUACCCGGGUAGUCCAAGCUGUAAACGAUGCUCGCUAGGUGUGGCGUUGGCUACGAGCCAGCGCUGUGCCGUAGGGAAGCCGAGAAGCGAGCCGCCUGGGAAGUACGUCCGCAAGGAUGAAACUUAAAGGAAUUGGCGGGGGAGCACUACAACCGGAGGAGCCUGCGGUUUAAUUC
rnacentral:rRNA from 1 species